ensembl:lncRNA
ACUGUGGGCCAUUCCGGCCUCCUCCAUCAAAAUCUUCCUAAGAGGAGGUGCUACACUCUGGGCAGUUUGCAUCACACAUCUGUGAUUGUUUGUUUUUUUAAACCGUGUGCUGCAUCGCCGACUGUGAGGGAACACACCGAGGGCAGGCUCUUUCUGCACAGCCACCACCCUGUGCCGAGAAUCUGCUAGGCAUUUACCAGCUGACAAAAUCUGCCGUGGUGAAUACUAAAAACUUAAGUGUUCACAGAAAGAAACCAGGUGCAGCCUUUCCCAGCCUCUGAGAUAAACUGGUGACCUCCUCCGAGCAGGACAGGAGAUGCUCAAUUUGGCUUUCUGGAAAUAGCCAGGCCAAAUAGCAGACAUGGGCAACAGCAAGAAAGAGAACAGAGUACAUGCAGACUACGUGGUGACGGAGCAGCCAUGGAACUCUAGGCUGACCAGGGCAGCCAUCUAACUCCUGCCACAGCACUUGUCCAUAUCCUGGAAUGUUCCAGCAUUUGCCUCUGUUCAAACGAUCCCUCCAGAACCGUGCUACCCUGUCUUCCUUCAAACAUGCUGCGUUGCUCCCUUUCUACUGCCUUGAUAACCCUCCACUGCAUUAGCCCUUCGUUUGUUUACUUAGUGUGUGUGUGUGUGUGUGUGUGUGUGUGUGUGUGUGUGUGUGUGUGUGUGUGUGUGUGCCCAUGUGCACACCUGAGUGGAUUUGUACACCUCAUCUUCACAGGUGCCCAGGAGGUGAGUCCCCUGGAACUGGAGUCACAGGAAGUUGUGAGCCGCCUGAUGUGGGGCUGAGAACCAAACUCAGAUCCUCUGCAAGAGCACUAAACUCUCUUCAUAGCUGAGCUGUCUCUCCAGCUCCACAUUUGCCCUGUCUUUCCAGACCCCUGUAUUGUUCCUUUCUUGUUUGCUUGUUGUCUGUCUCCCUCACUUGAAUAGAUUUGAUGAAGGCA